ACAUGCAUGAUUGUAAUGCAGAACCUAGUUUUGCGCCCAGCAAACCAUGUUGCAGAAUUGAUGAGUAACAAGGAUACCAGCACGUUAGUGUGAUACGACCUCCUAGACGCUCUGGCCCGGACAGACUCCUGCCUCAUAAAACAUUCAUCAGAAAACUUUACACACAAAGGUGUCAUGUUUGCGUAAAAAGUCGAUUUCCAAACAUAUUGGCCUCAACUUGGAGCACAAAAUGUUUUAAUAUUUCGUGCCCAGGUUUCUCCGGAACGUGGCCAUGGAGACCCCACCGAGUGGCCGGCCACAGACAGACUGACCGCUGUCCACUCCGGAACGACGGGGCGCUUGUGGUUGACAACGUAAUUAUUAAUCCAGGCCGUCAACGCGCUGUCCUUGAUUGAUUUCCGCGAACGGCGAGAGGAGCGGCGAAGUGGACUCCAUAGAAGUAGGAAACAGACAGAUGACACAACCCCGGAAAACUCGUUGGCCCACUAUUUACGAAAAAACAUGAACAGAUACAUGUUGUGCUUUGUUAAGUGGUUUCGUUUCACAUAUUUCCCAACGCAGAAUUAUUUUAUGCUAAUAAAGCUAGAUCUACAUCUAAAGUUGUUUUUGUUUCAAGCGAAAACCUUGAACUGUGAAUGAUAUUUAGGAAUUCAGAUAACACAAAAAACCCAAAGGGCAAUCAAGGACACCUGUAAUCGUGUAUAUUAAAUAGGCAUUUAUUCUUGUCAUUUCGUGCCUUUUCCACCGAAUAAAAGAAGAACUCGG